UGGCGGCCAUCUUAGAGAGUUGUACUGACAGGAGGAGCUGAGAGACAAGGCCGGUGCUGCUGCUGUGAUUCCUAGCCAGGGAGGUGGGACAGAGACGCGACUACCUGGAGUAGGUUAGAGCCAGAGACCCUGGGAGACAGCUCCAUAGUGACAGAGCCCACCAUACUUCCAGCAGCAGUGUGAGUGACAGCGGCCAGCAGGCCCUCUGAGAGAAGUAGCUGGCUGGAGGAAGGAGCAGCCUCAUUAACAGUGUCUACAGUGCAAGCGUCCAGAGAGGUCUCCCAAUAUAACCUGGGUCCCACCGUGCUGGCCACUAUGAUAAAGGGGAGUGGAAAGAUCGGGAUAAAGGUGUUCGACAAUAAAGAUCACUUUCUGGAGAUAAAGUCCUUAGAACAACAUGGACAAAUCACCAAGAGUGGACUACAGAAAGGAGACAAAUUAAUAAAGAUCAAUAAGCAGAAUGUGGUGGGAUGGAGCGUCCUAGAUUUUCUGCAAUAUGAAAACAACAUCAAGCUGGGAAAAAACUAAAGAUCUUAGUGUAUCGUGGUCGCCAAAAGGGUCCGGCUCCAGCCGCAGGCGCUUCAUCAGAGGAAGUGUUGGAAGGGGAUUCCGCAUCUUCUUCAGCGCCAGAGACAGAAUUUGCAUUUGUCCAUGAAUACUUCAUAGGACAGGCAGCACCGGAUCCUCAUAGUGACACGUCUGACAACACCCACGCAGAUUGUGACGCAGUCAUACCCCCACAUAAUGAUGAAGUCUCCCACUCAGAUAGUGACACAGUUUCCAACGCAGAUAUUGGUGUAAUCCCACCCAGAGCCAGGAGAGAUAAUCCGGACAAGGAAAUGAAUUUCGUCAGCAGGUUUGGCAAUUUUGUGGAAGAAGCCCUCAGAGAGUGGGAUGAAUGCACACAGGAUUGCUGCUGCGCAUUAGGAGUCUUUGGUCUGUUUUGCCUUUUGUAAAGGUGAAUGUGAUGGCUCCUGGCACCCCUGCCCGUCACUUACAUCUCCACUACAGCUGCAGAGCCUCUUAAUGCCCAGACGGAAGGGCAGUCCUUCCAGCCAUGGUUCCCCAGAGGUUUCCCCCACCGGGGGUUUUUCCUCUACUGAGUGCUGAAGGAUCACUUAAAUUACCAUCAGUUCUAAAUAAAAUCUCUGAUCGGGGGGCGUGGCUUGGCUCGGCAUGGAGAAACAGCUGCAGAUUGUAGCUCCUCACCAACAUCCUGCUGAUAUAUCCUGCUCCCUGCCGCAUUCUCGGUGGAAAUUGCUCCACAGGGGUGUUCCAGUGUGCUGCAUCUUUUGGUGUUUGUGCUGUGUCUCUAGCUGCAGAAAAACCUCGGCAUUGCGGAGCUGCGUAGUGCGGCCUACAUCCUGGGUGUCGCGGCCGGCCUCGCUGCCUGAUAUUGUGCUGUGCACAGGCUCACUUCCGGCUACGGCUCUCCUCUGACCGCUCUGGCUGGCGGGCUGCUGAUUCGGGGACUGCUGGCGCUGAUUGGCGGUGGUGGGAGACUUCUCCAUCACCAGGAUUGACCGCAUGUUUACUGUGGUCAAACUUACCUGCUGCGGAUCCGCCACUUCUUCUACCCGACUGUCUACCCAAGCUGAAUGCGGUGCGGCUUCUUCUGAGUGCUGCUUCUAACUCCGUAUCUGUGCCGCUGCUGUCGCCUUAUAUUGGGAGCGGAAUCCUUGCAUUUUGGCCGACCCUGGGAGCAGCUUAUUGAGAGAGUGCUUUCCUGUCGCAGAGACGCCAUCUUUUGACCGGGCCCCUAGGAAACCGCAGAUCUAGGCACUUCAUUACUUCUCUCCUAUGCUUCCCUAGUGAGUGCACACUUUUUUUUUCACUAUUACGCUCUGCUGAACACUGAGGUCUCCUCUAUCAUGAACACACGGAACUGCCAUUUCUUCUGCGUUUUAUACCUCUGAUAUUGCCUGUUUGAGACUGGACCUUUCUAUUAUUUCUAUCUGCUAUUCAGUGCUUCUUUACAUACUACUGGCUUCGGUGAGGCACCCCCUGCAGCCAUGUUUAACCCUGCUAGUACCUCUGAACAUCUAAUCUCCUCUAUCCUGAAGGCUGUUAUGGAAUCUGAGAAAAGGAUUCUUGCUAUGUUUGGAGAAGAGACUGUUGCGGUGCCUGUUUCUCCUGAAGAGUCUGCCUGCCUACCUGUGUUGAUGCCCUCGGAGCCCUUGGGUGAGCCUGUGGAUUCCGCUACACAACAAAUUAUAAAUAAAUUGGGGGAGUUGCAGAUUAAUCCCAUGCGUAUUCGCCGUUAUUCCCGGUUGGCGAUGGUGCAUGGGAUGUCGGCGGCAGCCUCCAUCUCGUCAUUAGUGACUGUGUGGACCCACACUGCAAUCUCAUUCAGGGCCUCAAAAUGUGACUUUUUCCACACUGGAGAACUGUACUGUAUUUCAUUGCAGUCCGUUGAGGUGCUAGGGAGGGGGAUGGAUUUCCAUUCUGUAAUUUUUGUGGACUUGAGGCCUUUACUCUUCUCUACUUGGAUAAUGCUGUGCAAGAUGGCUGAUGACUCCAUUUCUUUGCUGGUUACUGUUUGUGAAUUGUUGGGAUAUGUGGUUCCGGAAUGGGCCCGUCCCCCAGACUGAUUUUGUUUCUUUUCAAGUCUGUAUACUGAUUCACUGUUGCCAGGACCCUUGCUAUGUUUUAUUUUCUCACUGAUUCUCUCUAAAAUAUUGUCAAUUUCCAUGCUUUUUGUAUGUCUUAUGAUUGGCAUAACUUUGUUAUUACAUAGUACCACACUAUAUUUAAUUUGAAUAUUCUUCAUUUAAGAGCUUUAGGGGUAUAUGCAAUUGCGGUCGAAUUCCCGAAAUUGUCGAAUUUCGGGAUUUUUUCGCCCAAAAAAAUAAAUCGUCAAUGCAAUUCAGUGCUUUCCGUCAAAAAAACGGACUUUCAAAAUUCGACUUUUUGAAAUUCGACUUUUGUCAAAUUCGACUUUUCUGCAAUGAUACAAGUGCUGCAAUUCGACCAAAGUGUAUUCAAUUUAAGUUUGGAAAUUCGACAACAGUGCUUUUAGAUAGUAAAUUCGUCAUUUUCAAUCCGCCACACUUUGGAGGGUGAAACCAAUAAAAAAAAAUGUAAAACAUGUUUUUUUUUUUUGUUUUUUUUUUGGGAAUAGCAUUAUCUAUUUAUAUUAGAAGGGAUUAGGUACUUGGUUUGUCUUUUUUGGUUGCACAAGUAUUAUUUAUAUAUUUUUAAAAAGAUUAUUAUUUUUUUUUUUAAUAGCUA